GCGGACGUAGCUCAGUUGGUAGAGCGUCGCGUUGCCAACGCGAAGGUCGCGGGUUCGAAUCCCGUCGUCCGCU
rnacentral:tRNA from 2 species